UACGUAGGGUCCGAGCGUUGUCCGGAAUUACUGGGCGUAAAGCGCGCGCAGGCGGCCCGCGAGGUGUCACGUGAAAGCCCCGGGCUCAACCCGGGAGGGUCGUGGCAAACCGGCGGGCUUGAGGCCGGUAGAGGUGGGUGGAACUCCUGGUGGAGUGGUGAAAUGCGUAGAGAUCAGGAAGAACACCAAAGGCGAAGGCAGUGUCCUGGCUGGUUCCUGACGCUGAGGUGCGAAAGCUAGGGGAGCGAACGGG
rnacentral:rRNA from 1 species